ensembl:lncRNA
GUGUUCUGUGUCAGUGUUAUUGUGUGUCAGUGUUAGUGUGUCAGUGUGCUCUGUGUGUCAGUGUUAUUGUGUCAUUUGUGUUCUGUGUCAGUGUUAUUGUGUGUCAGUGUGUUCUGUGUGUCAGUGUUAUUGUGUCAGUGUGUUCUGAGUGUCAGUGUUAUUAUUGUGUGUCAGUGUGUUCUGUGUGUCAGUGUUAGUGUGUCAGUGUGUUCUGUGUGUCAGUGUUAUUGUGUCAUUGUUAUUUUGUGUCAGUGUUAUUUUGUGUCAGUGUGUUCUGUGUGUCAGUGUUAUUGUGUGUCAGUUGUUAUUGUGUGUCAGUGUUAUUGUGUGUCAGUGUUAUUGUGUGUCAGUGUUAUUUUGUGUCAGUGUGUUCUGUGUGUCAGUGUUAUUUUGUGUCAGUGUGUUCUGUGUGUCAGUGUUAUUGUGUCAGUGUUAUUGUGUGUCAGUGUUAUUGUGUGUCAGUGUUAUUGUGUCAGUGUGUUCUGUGUUUCAGUGUUUGCGUGUUACCUGUGUCAGUGUGUCAACAUUUCCGAAUGAAAGUGUGUUCACACGUCCGCGUGUGUGUUCCUGUGUGUCAGCUUGUUCCCCUCUGUUCAUGUUCCAGCGUAUUCCCGGUUCUGUUCUAGCCCGCACGUAUCACUCUUUCCCCCUAUCUUAAUGUGUUCCCGUGUAUUCCCGGUUCACUUCUAAACAACCCCGUGUAGAAUUUUCCUGACCGGUAUUUUAAGGGUUGUUUAAAGAGCGACCCGGAUGACACCUCGGCACACGGCUGGAAGCGUGCGAACGGCGUCGUGCCUUCGUCUCCCAGCUGCAGCGUUCAGCCGGGGUUCAGCGAGAGGUCACAGCACCUGCAUCUCUUUACACCUUCUCUCCCCAAAGAUGGGCUCAUUAACACGGCAUUAACGCCAGACGCUUAUUUAUCCUGUCACGUGCUCACAAUUGGAAACAAACAGAGGAGAGAAUGAAAUGGAGGGAGGAACAGUUUGAACAAGAACCUUUAGAGGAAAGGCAUCUUAAUAUAUAUGAUGAUAUUAGGGCUGAGAAAAAAACAUCCAUAAAUCUGCUCAGAUGAUGAUACAUGAUGUAUAACACUAAUCUUUAAA